rnacentral:rRNA from 1 species
CAAAAACAUGUCUUUUUGAGUUAUUUAAAAAGUCUAACCUGCCCAAUGAAUUAAUUUUUAAUGGCCGCAGUAAUUUGACUGUGCAAAGGUAGCAUAAUCAUUAGUCUUUUAAUUGAAGGCUUGUAUGAAUGGUUGGACGAAGUAUAAUCUGUUUCAUAUAAAUUUAAUAUAGAAUUUUAUUUUUUAGUAAAAAAGCUAAAAUUGUUUUAAAAGACGAGAAGACCCUAUAAAUCUUUAUAAUUUGAAUUAUUUUUAUUUUUUUGAUUUAUUUUAUUUUAAUAAUUUAAAUUAUUUUGUUGGGGUGACAUUAAAAUUUAAUUAACUUUUAAUUUAUUUUAUCAUUAAUUUAUGAUUUAUUGAUCCAUUAAUAAUGAUUAUGACAAUAAGUUACUUUACGGAUAACAGCGUAAUUUUUUUGGAGAGUUCUUAUUGAUAAAAAAGUUUGCGACCUCGAUGUUGGAUUAACAAAUAAUUUUAGGUGUACUUGCUUAAAUAAUAACUCUGUUCGACUUUUAAAUUCUUACAUGAUCUGAGUUCCAACCGGA